GUGCCUUAAACUAAUGAGUAAGGAAAAUUUACGAGCCUUGGUGACGCUUGGCUUUUGCAGUCCAUGAACUGUUAACUAAUUUUUGGGGGGGUAUAGGUCGUCCCCUUGAAGGAUUUGCCUACUUUGCAAAUCUUUCGGGUGAUAGCGAUCUGCCCC